rnacentral:rRNA from 1 species
GACGUAGGGGGCGAGCGUUGUCCGGAUUUAUUGGGCGUAAAGCGCGCGUAGGCGGUUCGUUAAGUCGGAUGUGAAAAUCCGGGGCUCAACCCCGGACCUGCAUCCGAUACUGGCGGACUGGAGGCAGGCAGGGGAGAUCGGAAUUCCUGGUGUAGCGGUGAAAUGCGCAGAUAUCAGGAGGAACACCGGUGGCGAAGGCGGAUCUCUGGGCCUGUCCUGACGCUCAGGCGCGAAAGCUAGGGGAGCAAACAGG